GCCCGUCGCUACUACCGAUUGAAUGGUUUAGUGAGAUCUUCGGAUUGGCGCCACUGUGGCUCAGCAAUGGGCUCGGUGGAUGCCGAAAAGUUGAUCAAACUUGAUCAUUUAGAGGAAGUAAAAGUCGUAACAAGGUUUCCGUAGGUGAACCUGCGGAAGGAUCAUUA
rnacentral:rRNA from 2 species